CGUCAGUGAGGUGAACAAACUCGGCGCCAAAACGGGACUGACGCAGUAAGGAAAAGUUAUCGACGACGACGAGUCAAUUUCAACUGAACGCAAUUUUAACGGAUAUUCAGAGCUGGAGAACUACGGAGCAGCUGUCGAGCAUGGAUGACUUGGAUGUCACAACACUGUCUGUGUUACAAGCUGCUGAUGUUGAUGAAGGGGUUUUAAAAACCCUCUCUCGGGAGGAUCUUUUGGAUCUUCUUCCUGGACCACAGAACUUUCUGCGAAGAAAGAAGUUGUGGGAUCACAUUCAUCCAAAGGAACAGAGUGAGAAUGCAGUGAGAGAAGCCAUUGAUCAGCCAUCCAUGUUGCCAAGCCAGCCAUCCACACAUGCCAUGUUACCAAGCCUGCCAAGCCAGCCAUCCACAAGUGCCAUGUGGCCAAGCCCGCCACGGACCUCCACCCCCAAAAGCCAUCACCAGAAAACCGUAAAAAUGCCGGACCCUCCUGAGUAUGUGGUAUACACCGAUUCAGAACUUGACUUGGUUCGGAGCCAGUAUUUUGAACUGCUCCGCAGUGGGAAAGGGUCACAGUGCAAGAUGUCUAAAGACCUAUUUUGCAGACUGAUAAGGAACACUGUAACCAGCAUGGUGGCUAUCCUCCGUGCCAGUAGUUUGUGUCAAGAACAGAUGUACCCUUCAAAAAGGGAAAUUCAGGCAGUGGCUGAGAAGAUUGUUGAUUAUUACCCUAUGCUGCAAGACUCAUCAAACACGCCUUAUGUAAGUGCCUUUUCUAUUUCAAAUAAUGUAGUGGGUUAGGCUGUGGAGUAAUGACUCAAACAUUUCUUUCCUACAGCUGACUGUGUACUCUAAAAUGUAUAAGCAUAUCCAAAACAUCAAGUCCCCAAGAAAAAGGCAAGGACGAAUGCCACAACGGGGGGUACCUAAGAAGAGGUCUCUCCUUGAGUCAAGUCUUGAAGAUGACAGUGAUGCUUCAACCAAUUUGUCGGUUGCUUCAACAGUAAUUCUGCCGGACAGCGAUGAUAACGACGCUGAGCUCAGCCAAGGCCAAUGGAGAAGUAAAUGAGUGCUAAAAUAUUCCACCACAAUACGAUUUUGUUUGUAAAGACCCGUUAUCAUGAACCCAUUUAAACUUUUUUUAAAGCCUUUCUAGGGGCAUGAAUAAAUGUCCUUGUAUUUGACCUUUUCUUUGGUGUUGUAUGUUAAGACCAGGACAGCCGCAAAACACAAGCAAGGCACUAUCAGACAUUACAGACCAUGUACAGCAAACCUAAGUCUAAGCCAAAUGGAAGUGAUGUUGCUCAGAUUUUGGACUUGGAGUUCGAGGCCAGGCGGGCCUUUAUUGAUUCUGAUGCAACAAAGGAAGAAGACAAGGCAGCCAAGAUUAUGGAUGCAUAUCCAUGUUUUAGAGAUCCCCGACAUGCAGUUGACGAGCUUGGGCGUAUCCUUGGUGGCGCCAACAGUAAAUACAUUGACGAUACCAAGAAAAGAUGGCAGACCUUCUGUACCAAUGUCCAAUUCUAUGGUCUGUGGAAGAAGGUCCUAAAACCCCCCAUUCCUGUGGAUAUGGCUGGAGGUAUGUUCUGUAUUAUAAUCUGAAUUGUAAUCUAUCAAAUCAUGUGCAGAAUAUGUGCAUAGUGUAUCUGACAUAUGGACUGGAAACCCGUCUAUUCCAUGCUGUUCUCUUCAUGUGGUAACAGUUGGACCAAGGGGUCAUGCCCGGUCUCUACAGAUUCAUCUGUUCCCAUAUAAAGUGAAUGGAAAGAGGAGGCAAACGACAUUUUGCCGUUCAUG